GUGGACUUUUAUCUGGAUUCUAUCAGUUCACUAUGUCACUUCAGCUGAUGUUAUCUUUCAGAUCUUUCACUUUGUAUAAAAUCUUUUCUGUGAUAAUCUAAACUACAUAGUAAUUUUACCAUGAGAACCUGGAGGCCACAUUCUCCUCUUAAUAAUAUGCUUGAUGCAGAAAUAUGUUUUUCUAUGAAGAUUGAAGCUGUGGUUUAGGGGAUUGGAACCUGCCUGGUGUUCAGCCUAAGAGAAAAAGCUUCAGCCUAAGAAAAAACUGCUCCAGUAUGAUUUUCACUGUUAGCACUGUUUACAAAAUAUUCAAAGGUUAUGCACUCCUUUAAGGGCAUAGCUUUAGAGACCGUAUUAUAAACUCAUGUUUGUAAUUUAAGCUGAAGUCUUUGCUGAAAACUCAAGGGCUUCUUUUAUUAGCUGUCUGAAGUUCUGUCAGUUUGGCACAUGUAUUGUUCCUUUUAGAAAAGGAAUAGGGUGAUAGCAAGUUGUCAGUGGGUAAUUUUCUAAUUAUGUGGCAUGCUUCCCAUUUCACAGGCUCACUUGCAGUUUCAGAGAACCAAGAUGAUAAACAUAAAACUGAUAUCCAAGAGGAUAAACAUAAAACUGAUCUUCUGUCCAUAUAGUGACACCUUAGAGACGCCAAGAAAGAGCCAGUCAAAUUCACAUACAUUCAGAGCUUGCUGGGGGAAAGAAGGAGGACCGAGAAGGAGAGAAAGGAAAAAAGUUCAGAAUGAGAACUAUGCACAUAACAUGUAUAAAGGUACUUAUGUAUUUUCUGAACUACACAUCAUGGUACUCGUUCACCCCCUUGUCAGCUUUGUCUGCAGCUCUCUCUGUGUAGACCAGCAGUGA
rnacentral:lncRNA from 1 species